rnacentral:tRNA from 1 species
GGGGUUUUCGUCUAGUGGUUAGGACGGAGCUUUUUCACAGCUUUAACACGAGUUCAAAUCUCGUAAACCCCA